CGGACGUAUAUAAGGACCAACUGCUGGAGGAACAGCAGUACAGCUCCCACCUUGUCCUGCAGCAGAGAUACCAAGUUAGACCUGGCAAGAUGAAGACUAUGUUGGUGCUUGUAGCGGGUCUCUGCUUCCUGCUGGUGGCGACGGAGGCUGCUCCUGCGGAGAGCCCUGUGGAGCUGUUCUCGUCCUUGUCGGAGUCCCGGGUGGAGAGGGCGGCCCACCACCCGGGUGGAGGGUGCUGUGCCUGCCCGGAGAUCACGCGGAUCUCCGUCAUCGUCAUCGAGACCACCAGAUACCCGACUGCUGGUUUUGCCCCCAGACACGGCGGCCGUGGCCAGUGCUGCCCGUGCUUAGGUUAGCGUCCCCCUGAGAGGCACGGACCUCCCGGCCACCACCUCACGACAACGGCCAACAGUGAUCCCGACCUCACAGCAUCUUUGUCUUAUCUCCCGUGGCUGCCGGAGGAUGCUGACUAUUAGUUACAUUAGCUAUAUUGUUUAGGUACCAAUCAUCAGAGUUGGUUUGAUCAGUAAAAUUUAUGUUUUCAUAUGUAAUAAAUUUCGAUCCAAA